UUUGGAAAAAUAGAAGAAAAGGCAAUGAGUGUCAAGAUGUGAUAAAAACUGAUCGUGUCAACUAUAUCAAAUUAUAUCAAUCGUUACACAAUUAUCAUUAUUAUACUUGACGAUAUGAUGAAGAUUUUCUUGCUGCCUAUUCGAUCGAAAUAUCGAAUUAAUUACCGGAUGACUUUGGUCCCGUUACGAUAAACCGCCAUGGACACAAUGGUGCCAGUCUCGCUGGCUGUCAACGACAAUUCCCGAAAUUCCGCCUGUUCAACGCGGAUCUCGUAAUCGCCGUGAAGCCUACGACCCCGGAAAUAUUUGCUCCAGUCGGUGUUUUGGUCGUCUAUGACCAGCAAGGUGAAGCAUCUAUCUUUGUUGUAUGAGGGUCCUCUGGUUGCGCCCGACACUGCCGCUCCCAGAAUCGAUGCACCCUGGUUAACAAUCGAAAUUGGAUAAUGAACGUCGAAAAGAUUGAUGGUAUUUCGAGCACGCGAAAGCUCGCUCGUUUCGUUCGAGGAAAGAUUGGAAAGAUCGUGUAUCGCGUCGAACAUGCAACGAGGCAAUUUUGGAUCCAAAUCUCUGACUCGCGUCGAUCUUGCUGCGCACGAUACGUACGUGGAAAUGCAAUCUGAUGGCUCGAAAAUGAUGGAACAAUUUAUACAUUAUUAUUAUUAUAAGUGUAUAUACCUUGGGGAAAUUAAACUCGGGGAGAUGGAAUUUCACGGAAGGGCAAUCGUGCUCACCUCCCUGGAAACCCCAUGAAAUUUCUAAGAUAACUUGACCUUUUUUCUCAUCCCUGGACACGACACUUUAAAGAAUCACUUUCGUUAAAUUAAACAUACUCGGAAUAUUUAUUCAGAAUUUAAACACCUCUUCAAAUUUCUUCAAUCGCGAAAUGAUUGACUCGAACACGUUUCUUUUUACAAUUACAUAAGAAGAAAAUAUUUAACGCAAACUUGAACGUUAAAUAUUCACCUGGUAACUGAAAUACUCUUUCGUUUACUAUCAAACGUAAUUAUACACGCCUAAUUAUAUACACCUUUCGGAAGACUCAAUUUUAAAAAAAUAUAUAUAAAUUCAAAAGCCUCGAU